GACGAACGCUGGCGGCGUGCCUAAUACAUGCAAGUCGAACGCAGUUGCGAACGUGUGAUUUACGCAUAGGUCUCUGCCUGGUAGUGGGGGCUAACUACUGGAAACGAUAGCUAAUACCGCAUACUACCAGGUUGACCUUCGUUGUAUUAGCUAGUUUGUGGGGUAACGGGUCACCAAGGUAACGCUACAUAGCCGACCUGGGAGGGUGAUCGGCCACAAUGGGAAUGGGGAAAGGCCCAGACUCCUAACGGAGGCAGCAGUAGGGAAUCUUCGGCAAUGGGGGGAAAGCUGACCGAGCAACGCCGCGUGAGUGAAGAAGGUUUUCGGAUCGUAAAGCUCUGUUGUGAAGGAAGCGGUACUUAACCAGAAAGGAACGGCUAACUACGUGCCAGCAGCCGCGGUAAUAC
rnacentral:rRNA from 1 species